UACAUAGGGGGCGAGCGUUAUCCGGAUUUACUGGGCGUAAAGGGUGCGUAGGUUGUUAAUUAAGUUUCUGGUAUAAGUGCAGUGCUUAACGCUGUGAUGCUAGAAAAACUGGUUGGCUAGAGUGAGACAGAGGUAAGUGGAAUUCCAUGUGUAGCGGUAAAAUGCGUAAAUAUAUGGAGGAACACCAGUGGCGAAGGCGGCUUACUGGGUCUUUACUGACACUGAUGCACGAAAGCGUGGGGAGCAAACAGG
rnacentral:rRNA from 1 species